rnacentral:rRNA from 1 species
GGGCCCGCACAAGCGGUGGAGUAUGUGGUUUAAUUCGAUGCAACGCGAAGAACCUUACCAGGGUUUGACAUCCUGCGAAUCUCUUGGAAACGAGAGAGUGCCUUCGGGAACGCAGUGACAGGUGCUGCAUGGCUGUCGUCAGCUCGUGUCGUGAGAUGUUCCGUUAAGUCGGAUAACGAGCGCAACCCUUACCCUUAUUUGCCAGCAUUUAGUUGGGCACUCUAGAGAGACUGCCGGUGAUAAACCGGAGGAAGGUGUGGAUGACGUCAAGUCAUCAUGCCCCUUACAUCCUGGGCUACACACGUACUACAAUGCUACGGACAAAGGGCUGCAAGUUCGCGAGGACAAGCAAAUCCCAUAAACCGUGGCUCAGUUCAGAUCGUAGGCUGCAACUCGCCUACGUGAAGUUGGAAUC